CACCCCAACCAUAGUUUCAUAAAAUCUCCUUAGAGUUAAAUCAUCGAGCCACCGAAGCUCUUUUAGAAAAACCUCGUGCAAACCUCAGAUCUAGUCCAAUCGUUCUUCUCGCUUUUGUUCGAGAUCAAAACCUUGGUUGUGCUUCAUAUAUUAGGUUUUUUAGAUCUAAAUAUUUCACAAUCAUUAACAUCGCGUAUCGUCGAUAAGAGUUAAGAUCCACCACUUUUAGGUUUUGAAGACUAGAUUUUAAACGCUUCUUGGUAAAAAGUGUAUUCUAUUGACUUUUAGCCCAUUGUUUUACAAGUAAGUUUAUUUUAGCCUUGCAUGAUCAUUUUAACAUGAGAUCUGAAUUGUAGUCUCCAUAAGAAAUCUUAGAAUUGUAAGAUCUGAUGAUCUAAAUUGUUAUUUACCUAUCAUAGAAAUAAUAUAUGGAAAAAAAAUUACAGUGUCAAGAUUAAACUUCAAUGAUAAAGUUAUAACCAGCGAGCGAUGAUGGAUACCUUAUAUAUCAAAUUAUUCUUCGUGAAAUAUCGAAUUCCAAUCAAAUCAACGAAGUACCAAAUUUCAAUCGAAUUGAAUCGCAUGUCCUUGGACGGGAUUUGUUUGAUUGUCAUGGGGCUAGAGCUACUACAUCUGGAGGUCGAAAUCAACCUCCUUAUAUGUUGCAGAAGAUCUGUCUUUAGAGAGAUGAAACUGCAUGAUACGGAUAUCUUCAGUCGCAGUGGUGACGCCAUACAGACAUGAAAAGACAACGAUGCUGCUACUAGAAUGAUGCUGUGACUGAGGAGUACCUUCAUGAAGGACAACGUGAAUCAUCAAGACAAAAUGUAAAGCCUUCUCAAAAUCAAAACAUCAACAUGCUCAAGAAGGUGGAGGAAGUUGACAAAGGUAAAGUCUCUAUUUCCCUUGCUGAUCUUGAUUUAGAAGAACUUCUAAAAGUGAAGGCUUCAUUGAAAGUACUCCAGAGUGACAUAGAAGCAGCAACAUAUUUGCUUUUCCUUUCGAAGAAACCUAUAUAAUCAAGAGGGUCAAGUAGAUUGCAGCAUACAAGUCUCAUUGGUUCGGAUUGUAAGGCAUGAGAAAAAUUCACGUUCGGAUUGUAAACUUCAUUGAGGCAGCAUCAUAUUUGCUUCUCCUUGCAAAGAAACCUAUAUAAUCUUAUGCUUGUGACCGAAUAGCUGAAGAAGGUCGAGGAUAUUUCCCCUGCUGAUCUUGAUUUAGAGGAACUUCUAAAGUGAAGGCUUUAUUGAAAGAGCUAGAUGGUGACAUUGAGGUCGCAUCAUCUUUGUUUCGCCUUGCAAAGAAACCUAUAUAAUCGAGAGGGUCGCAGCAUAUAAGCGUCAUUGGUUCGGAUUGUAAAGUAUGAGAAAAAUCCAAUGUUAUGAAAAGUAAUUACUAAUUAGAGAUUUUGUGUUGUUCAAUUUUAGAAAUUGAUCAUGAAUAAUUCACUUUGUUUUGCAAUUAUUAGUCACAUGUAACGUAUAAUUCCUGAUCCAGAGCGAUGUACAAGUUAAG